rnacentral:rRNA from 1 species
CCUACGGGUGGCAGCAGUGAGGAAUAUUGGUCAAUGGGCGCGAGCCUGAACCAGCCAAGUCGCGUGAGGGAAGACGGUCCUAUGGAUUGUAAACCUCUUUUGUCGGGGAGCAAAAGACGCCACGCGUGGCGUUCCGAGAGUACCCGAAGAAAAAGCAUCGGCUAACUCCGUGCCAGCAGCCGCGGUAAGACGGAGGAUGCGAGCGUUAUCCGGAUUUAUUGGGUUUAAAGGGUGCGCAGGCGGAAGAUCAAGUCAGUGGUAAAAUGGAGAGGCGAAACCUCGUCUAGCCGUGGAUACUGGUUUGCUUGAGUGAGUGAGAAGUAGGCGGAAUGCGUGGUGUAGCGGUGAAAUGCAUAGAUAUCACGCAGAACUCCGAUUGCGAAGGCAGCAUGCGGGCGCUCAACUGACGCUGAUGCUCGAAAGUGUGGGUAUCGAACAGGAUUAGAUACCCCUGUAGUC